rnacentral:rRNA from 1 species
AUUGAACGCUGGCGGCAGGCCUAACACAUGCACGUCGAACGAGUGGCGGACGGGUGAGUAAUGUAUGGGAAACUGCCCGAUGGAGGGGGAUAACUACUGGAAACGGUAGCUAAUACAGCAUACCAUCGGAUGUGCCCAGAUGGGAUUAGCUAGUAGGGGGGGUAACGGCGCACCUAGGCGACGAUCCCUAGCUGUGAUCCGAGGAUGACCGGCAACACUGGAACUGAGACACGGUCCAGACUCCUACGGGAGGCAGCAGUGGGGAAUAUUGCACAAUGGGCGCAAGCCUGAUGCAGCCAUGCCGCGUGUAUGAAGAAGGCCUUCGGGUUGUAAAGUACUUUCAGCGAGGAGGCGUUACUCGCAGAAGAAGCACCGGCUAACUCCGUGCCAGCCGCCGCGGUAAUAC